rnacentral:rRNA from 1 species
ACGAACGCUGGCGGCGUGCUUAACACAUGCAAGUCGAGCGGUAAGGCCCUUUCGGGGGUACACGAGCGGCGAACGGGUGAGUAACACGUGGGUGACCUGCCUUUAGCUCUGGGAUAAGCCUGGGAAACUGGGUCUAAUACCGGAUACGACUCCGCGGUGCAUGCUGUGGGGUGGAAAGCCUUGUGCGGCUGGAGAUGGGCCCGCGGCCUAUCAGCUUGUUGGUGGGGUGAUGGCCUACCAAGGCGACGACGGGUAGCCGGCCUGAGAGGGCGACCGGCCACACUGGGACUGAGACACGGCCCAGACUCCUACGGGAGGCAGCAGUGGGGAAUCUUGCGCAAUGGGCGAAAGCCUGACGCAGCGACGCCGCGUGAGGGAUGACGGCCUGUGU